GAUGAACGCUGGCGGCGUGCCUAAUACAUGCGAGUCGAGCGAACGGACGAGAAGCUUGCUUCUCUGAUGUUAGCGGCGGACGGGUGAGUAACACGUAGAUAACCUACCUAUAAGACUGGGAUAACUUCGGGAAACCGGAGCUAAUACCGGAUGAUAUUUUGAACCGCAUGGUUCAAAAGUGAAAGACGGUCUUGCUGUCACUUAUAGAUGGAUCCGCGCUGCAUUAGCUAGUUGGUAAGGUAACGGCUUACCAAGGCAACGAUGCAUAGCCGACCUGAGAGGGUGAUCGGCCACACUGGAACUGAGACACGGUCCAGACUCCUACGGGAGGCAGCAGUAGGGAAUCUUCCGCAAUGGGCGAAAGCCUGACGGAGCAACGCCGCGUGAGUGAUGAAGGUCUUCGGAUCGUAAAACUCUGUUAUUAGGGAAGAACAUAUGUGUAAGUAACUGUGCACAUCUUGACGGUACCUAAUCAGAAAGCCACGGCUAACUACGUG
rnacentral:rRNA from 1 species